rnacentral:rRNA from 1 species
CACUAGCGCCACGAGUGGGGAUCACAUUUACUGGGUCUAAAACGUUCGUAGCCGGUUUGUUAAAUCUCUUGUGAAAUCGUCAGGCUUAACUUGACGACGUGCAGGGGAGACUGGCAAACUAGGGACUGGGAGGGGUUGGAGGUAUUCAACGGGGAACAGUAAAAUGUUAUAAUCCGUUGAAGACCACCUGUGGCGAAGGCGUCCAACUAGAACAGAUCCGACGGUGAGGAACGAAAGCCAGGGGA